UCUACACAGUAGGGGUGAAGGCACCUCAUUAACUAGACAAAGAAUUAUGAGGAGACACUGGGGAGCUCUGCUGGGAAUCCUGUGGCUCCAGGUUUGCUGGGUGAGAGGGAUGACGGUGGAGCAGAGUCCUUCAGCCCUGAGUCUCCAGGAGGGAGCCAGCUCUACUAUCAAGUGCAAUUUUUCUAGCACAGUAUACAGUGUGCAGUGGUUCCGACAGUACCCCGGGGGCGGCGGCCUCACCAGGCUGUUUUAUAUAACUUCAGGGAUGCAGCACAGUGGAAGGUUAAACUGCACAGUGAAUACUAAGGAACAGUCCAGCACCCUCCACAUCACGGCUUCCCGACUGGAAGACUCAGCCACCUACCUAUGUGCAGCCCAGGCAUAGUGGUCUCUGGUGAUCUGCAGCCUGCACCCAAACUGCACCUGGGCCUGCAGACCCGCCCUUCCUGGGGGCGGGCCCUUGCUUCCAUGCAGCCUUUGCAGAUUUUCAGAUUUAUGUAACAGUGUCUUUUCCCUCCUAAAAUUAGACCUACCGAUGCUCUCAUUUCCCUUGCUUUUCUUGCACUUCUUUUUCCAAAAAGCUCUUCGCAGGUAAAAAGCUCUACCAUGGAACCUUUGGAACAAGUGACAGAGAUGCCCAUAUCCAGUACCCUGGGAAGACAGAUGUCCUUGCAGCUACCAUAUAAAUUAUAUAUAAAUUACUUAAAUGGAAAAUCCUAAAAAAAAAAAAUA